UGUCAAUCCCUCGCUAGCCCUACCUCGUCUCCCGUCUCCAGGGGCAGCCGUCUGCAUCUCGUUCCCCUCUCCCUCCGACAUGGCCGCCCCCAUCCACCGUCCACCCCCGCCGCCGCUGCCCUCACCCUCUCCCUGCCCAGGCCCCACAUCAAGCAGCGGCCAUGGCGUUCCCGGCCGCCGCGGUGCGUGAUUCCCACCUCUACCUCUGCCUCGCCGUGGAUGGGAAGGAGAUCGGAAUCCUCCAUGGACGGACGCACUGAUGGGGGUCUCGUCUGACGACGGAGGCGGACCACCAGGAGGAGUUGCCGUGAGACGACACCGACGGUCGGCUCCUUCUCCACAACAACACAACACCGACCGUGGGGACUCCCGUUCUUCCACCCUGACGGCCUCUCCUCCGGCGCCCCUGUUCUUCUUCCACUCCGGCACGAUGAUAAGCCACCGGCUCCCUCCUCUACUCCACUCUACUUGCAAUAUCUUUCAAGUUUCUAUAUCACCUAAAAAAGGCCGGUCUGAACCAGAGAAACACGUUUCAGUUCUGUAGGCUUUCAGUUUUUAUAGCUUCUCAACAAGUGCUAAAUUAGCCCUGCUCUUGUCUAUAUCAGCUAUUCCUACAAGGGUUCUUGACUUCUUGUAUGUGCCAAAUUUUGUGAAAAAAAAACUGUUCUUGGCACAUCAAUGUGUUCGCAGCUAUUUACUUGAUGAGACAAGGAUGCGAAAGUGUUUGCAACUUGUCAUGACAUCAAAGCCUCUGUUGUACAUGUGUCAAGGAUGAGAUUCACAUGAUAAUUUGUUUUGUUUGGGCCUUAUGCUGUACUGUAUACAACUGAAUUACUUUUUGUGUUUUAUGAUUUAGUCAGUAGCCAAUCAAUGUCAGUGAUAAUAUGUAUCUUGUGAUUCUUUCUUCGUGUGCCGGUCAUGGUUCCCUGAUGCGGUUUAGAUUUUGUGAUUCCCUGACGAGGUUCCCUCACACACGCAGGUGCACGACAGAGCCGGCUGCGUGUGGUGCGUGCGGGGGGAUUCUUCUUCCACUCUGGCAAUCUGAGAGCAGCCAAGCAAGCUUAUUGAGAUAUGUAUCUUGCGAUUCUUUGUGUGCCGGUUACGUCUGCGGGUACGGCUGCACGAGUUCAUGUCUGUCAUUCACACAUGCAAAUUGUGAUGCCUGCUGCUUGCGACAGUUUUGCCCCUGUUCUUCUUCUACUCCGGCAAGAUGGAUUCAAACUUGGUUCUGAAAAGCACACCACAGAGGUCACCGUGAAGAAGUCUGGAAGCCUGCUUAUAAAUUCUGGGAUACAAGGAUACUCCCUGCUAAAGACAACUCAGGAUUCGUGAGGGAUCGCUACACUCUUCUUCCUGAAACAAGAGAAAGAAUUGUAGCUACAGAAGUAACUGCUUGGUGGAGCAGAUGAGAGUCUGGAAUGUUCCAUCCAAAUAGUUUAAUCAGAAACUGCACUGGCAAAGGUCUAGAGGAUGUAGAGGAGCUCCAGUUUGAUCCUAAGGAUGGCAUUGCUUUUUUUCUUCUUAUGCUCCAGUUUGCAGCAGCAUCUCCGACACCCUCUCGACGAAUUGCAGGUAGAUUGUAGCUGAGGAUGCGGCAAUGACCACCAAGGUAUGCCCUUCUCUCCUUGCCCUUCAUGCUGGCUUCAACAAGGCCGAAAGAUCUUCAGUCUUUUACAAGGUCAACCCCGCCUUCCUUGCAAUCAAUCUGCUGGCGACAGUAGAAAUUAACAGUCCUUUGUAUGUGUUUCUACAUGGUGGAUAUACGUGCAGGACCGGAGUGCAUGCUCUGUGGCAGAAGCAUCAGGGUGCUCCACGCUCAACAUCUUCUCAGCAUAGCUGCUCGAUCAGUAGUUUUGAUUGAUCUAUUUGAUAAUUUAAGCCAUCCAGUUGAUGUUCUUGGUUCGCUCAUGCUCUUUUCUUAUGUUGUUGUUUAAUCACUAUUGGCUUGGAUAUUCUCUAUAGCAUCUCAACAAUUCACUGCAAUUGGCCAGGUUAUUCUGUAUAUUUGAUAUUGUACGAGAGUAGCAGUCGGACUCAAAAAAUCACAACAUUCUGCAGGUACAACAACCACUUUACGCCGAACCUUGAUCUCAUGUUAUAUGAGUAGGUUAUAAAUUUUUAGUAACUAAAUUCACAUUAGUUUUUGAAGCACAAAUUGAUGUCUGUAAGUUAUUUAGGAUAACAUUUUGCUCCAUUUGGUAGAUAUAUAACAAGACAAUAUAGAGGGAUGUAGAGAGCUAUUUUUUUGUUAAAAUAAACAGUGGAAACGGUUAGCUUUAAUCAGAUAUGUUUGCUGAAAUCCAUUUGGAUAUUUUUUCUCUUUUCUUAGUUUGGUCGCACAUGGAUCAGCUUAGUGUGUCUUAUCUUUUUCACUAAAGUGUGGAUAUUUAUGUAUAGAGUAAAACGUGUCCAUGCUAUUUAUUUUCCAUAGUCAUUGUUGCCUAUACCAUAUUUAAAUUGCUGUCUUUAUUGUCCUUAUCUGAUGAUAGCCCAUUGGGAAAUGAAAGAAAGUGGGUUAAAUACUUUGUUUCUUUAUUUUAGGUCCAAAUUUACAUUGAUCGUUUAGUGGUUCAUCGAAAUUGUUCUGCCUAUGACUUUGAAAUUGGCCAGUAAAAGCCAACAUCCACCCUCUUCACAGCCGCAGUCAGGGAUUCGUUCAUUUUAGUGUGAGUAAGGAUGGGAACAUUGAUCUGUAUAUGGUAAUAUUUUAUGCUGAUUUCAUUUCUCAUUUCAUUGAUCAUCCGUGUUACUCCUUUGACAAAUGAUAUUUAUAGUACUUCUGGAUGACAAAGACUUUGAGUUCUGUGUGAAGCUCCAAAAGGAAUACCUAUAAGACUCCUUCAUCAACUUAGUAAGAUUGCAUAUGCCCUUUGCGUUGCACAGGUCCAACGCCUCGCUCCUCUACUCAUAGUGAAAAAAAAACUUAGGUACUCUGAAAUUUAUCUUUUCUUCCCCUCACGCUUUGUUAGGUUAGAUCAAUAGUUUUAUCUUAUUGGACCUGUGCAUUUUGAGAGUCCGAAAUGGGAACAUUAAAUUUACUUGGACCCUAUCUUAUUCUCAUAUCUGUAACUAGCUUUGCUUGUCAUUUAGAAGGGACGACCUAAGGAGUAGAGAGAUUCGAGACAAUCAAAAUCCUGCAUAUGUAUGUUUACAGGCGUUUGAUAAUCCUACGCCAGGGCCACAUAUAUAGGGACAUUCAAAAUUCUACACCAGGUUCACGUAUAUAGGGACAUAUUCAGCUGAGGUUCACGUAUAUACAAACCUGAAACUGUAUGCUUUUACACCAGGUUCACGUAUAUAGGGACAUAUUCAGCUGAGGUUCACGUAUAUACAAACCUGAAACUGUAUGCUUCAAACCGGAUGUGGCAGUAAUCCACUCAUCAUGCAAAACAAAACAAAAAUCUGUUACCUAGCAUGUAUUUGUUUGUACAGAUGAUGCCAUGUACUACAUUUUGUUUGCAAAAUCCAGCACCUAGCAUGUAUUUGUUAUAAUCGAGCACCGCGACGAAUCUGUUAUUUACCUUAGGAGGGUAAGAAAAAACACAAUCAAUGAUAUUAUACAUAAUUCUAGACAUUGUUUUAGAGUAUGUUCUGAAGUAUAUUUUUCUUCCAGUAAAUGUUGGAAAUGUCUAUGUACUUUUUUCUCCCAAUAUGUUAUGGUCAUCUUCCUGCUAUGCAUAUAAAUUUCAUGGCCAGCUUACUAGCUGGUGGUUGGCGAUCCUUUCUAUCUUCUUCCUCGCCGGCUCGAUAAAUCUCUCGGUUUCCUUCUCCUACCACUCGUCCUCCCUUGUGCUCUGUAACUCGGCCAUUGAUGUGGCUGUUAGUAAUAAGAUGGUAAUAUUUGUUUUAUAGAAAUACUUGUUUUUUUGCGGGUGUUUAGAAAUACUUGUUAGUUGCACAGGUGUACCCUGCAAGGAAUAAUUUUACAAUGGAAAUGCAUAUCUGUUGAAUUGAUGACUAAACAAGUUUGCGGGCACAUAUCUGAAAAUACAAGCAAAUACAGACAUAGAUUUAAGGGUUCUCAUUCAUUUAAAUCUCAAUGUUGAGAGAAGCCGAUCUCUGGAUAUGAGUAUUUUCUUCCCUGUUUGCGUGAUUGUUUAAUUGAAUGGAUAACUGUGUCUCCUGAAUAUUGUCCCAUAUAAUUGUUUUAAAUCUACCGAAUUAGUUCUCUAAAUCAGUUGAUAUUUUGCAAAGCUUCAAGCUUUAGUUUUUGCACUUCAUGACACCAAUUGUUUGUGCAGAUUCAAGAUUUAUUUCUGUACUGGAUGAUAGCAGUGAUUAGUGGAUUACUGUCACACGCUGCUGUUGUCAUCCAUAUCUCCUCAAGCGCCUUAGGUUUGUGAUGCGUAAGUUGUUGUACAUAUGUAAAUUGUUCUGUUCUUCUUUCGCCAAAACAUUAAUAAGCCCGCGAUACACUUUGCUUCUUUUUUAUCUAAUGUCUAUUUGUAGACUAAGUGUUUUAUUUAUGAUAGUGGAUUUCUGGCGUACAUGUGAAUAUCUCAUGUAUAUACAAUCAGUACACUCACCUGAACGAGAAUGGUGGCAAGCAGAGCGGGGUUGCGUCUUGUCCUUCUAGCGUCGAAGGUCCGGUGCACCCAUGGGUGUGCCUUUGCUAGUUUCUGACUGUCGCAAAGAAGUCAGAGCUGUGGGCGGCGAGGCCACUGCGGCAACGAUGACUAUGAGGACAGUUUUCAGCAAGCGGUGCUCCCCGAAUGUUGCAUUGAACUACGUCUUUGCGUGGCUUGCAACCUUCUCCUAUGAAGCCCGUAUGCAAAAUCGAAACUGUCAUGUCCUCGGUGUUGUGCUCGACUAUUCAUUGUUGCUUUGUGGCUCCGUGCUUCCUCUCCACAGUUAUAUCAUUUUUUGUGAUGUAAUCUUAUUAGUGGUUGGGUCAUCCAUGCGAGCCCCUUCUGAAGUUUGUAGUCUAGGUUAGAUACAUCCGUAUGUAGACAAAUUGAAGACAAAUAAUAUGGAAAGGAGGGAGUAUAUUAUUUGACUCAAGCACUCACAACCAACGCACUACACUCAUGCACGUGAAAUACAAUCGUAUUUUGAUCAAUAUCCCUGUGUAAGUUUGUUGUUCGGAGGCAAUCACGUAUGAAUUGAAGAGAGGUGAAUA